AAUAAUGUUUUUUUUUAAGAUUAGAAAAGGGGAAAGAAGGGAAAGGGUCGUUCAAAGUUCAAUGUUGAAUGUUCAACGUUGAGAGAAGACAUUUGAAAAUCACGUGAAACCAAAUAAGCUGAAAUCGCAUCCAAUCUCAUCGCAUCGCACAGAGAUGAAUUCAAUUGCCAGAAACCGAUCGCUAAGUCUCAUCCUUCUUGCUUUCUCUUUGCAUUUCGUUAUUGGUUUUUCCGACGACUCAGCUGUUUCUAAAGAUCUCACGAAGAUAGAACAUUUUGCCACCAGAAGCCCUAGUACUAUAAUUGUCCUUAUAAUAAUUGGGAUUGUGCUGUUUUCCUUGUUCUGCUUUGCACUUUUCAAACUUUGGCGGAAGAAGAAAAGGGAAGAACAAUACGCUCGUCUUUUGAAGUUGUUCGAAGAGGAUGAUGAGUUAGAGCUUGAGCUUGGCCUAAGGGACUGACCUCUGCAGCUCGACAUCUUCAAGAUUGGCUUAUGCGAGUUUAUUUGUUUUGAAAUGAGUUAUGCUAACAAGUGCAAGGACACUUGUUAACAAUAAAAAGUAGCAAAAAAUUUAUGGUGAAAUGCACAACAAUUAAUAUAAUACAGUACUUUAAUUUUUCAAUGCUUAACAAGUGUCCUUAUAACUCGUUAGCAUUUGCCUUGCCUUCAAAAUAAUGUCGCUUCUUGCCGAAGACAGAUAUGAUGGUGGUGGACGUGUGGAUUAAAACUUUCUUGGAGUGAAGAACCGUAGUUCAUUGUUUGUAAUGCUAUUUGAUGAUUUUUUUUAAUAGAUAUUUAUUUAUCUACAUAGUAGAUGUAGAGAAUGCUAAUUUGCAGAGAUUGGACUGGUGGUCGUCUUGAGUAUGAUACACCUGAAAUUUGUUGAUAUGUAUGAUAUUGUAGUCUUGACAUGUUAUGGGUAAUAUAUGGUUGUCCAUGAAUGGGUGACAUUUGUUUUUUAAAA